AGGAACGUAGACUUGCAUAACAACAACCAGUUUCUUAGAGCUAAGGAGAGAAGUGAUUGAUGAAGAAGGAUGGUUGCAUACAGGAGAUAUUGGAAUGUGGUUACCUGGUGGUCAUCUCAAAAUUAUUGAUAGGUAUAUAUAUGGCAGAGUUUCUCCUAAAUUAGAUGUCUUUGCUUUUGGGGCUUUAUGAGCUUAUUUCUGCUAAAGAAGCUGUGAUCAAUGGUGGUGCUGA